rnacentral:rRNA from 1 species
UACGGGGGGAGCAAGCGUUGUUCGGAUUUAUUGGGCGUAAAGAGCUCGUAGGCGGUUUGGUAAGUCGGGUGUGAAAUCUCCCUGCUCAACGGGGAGGGUGCACUUUAGACUGAGGAGCUAGAGGACGGUAGAGGGGGGUGGAAUUGCUGGUGUAGCGGUGAAAUGCGUAGAGAUCAGCAGGAACACCCGUGGCGAAGGCGGCCCCCUGGGCCGUACCUGACGCUGAGGCGCGAAGGCUAGGGGAGCGAACGGG